rnacentral:rRNA from 1 species
CGCGCAGGCGGUCGAUCAAGUCGAGUGUGAAAGCCCCCGGCUCAACUGGGGAGGGUCAUUCGAUACUGAUCGACUCGAAGGCAGGAGAGGGUAGUGGAAUUCCCGGUGUAGUGGUGAAAUGCGUAGAUAUCGGGAGGAACACCGGUGGCGAAGGCGACUACCUGGCCUGUUCUUGACGCUGAGGCGCGAAAGCUAGGGGAGCAAACG